rnacentral:rRNA from 1 species
AAUAUUGGACAAUGGGGGCAACCCUGAUCCAGCCAUGCCGCGCGUGUGACGAAGGUCUUCGGAUUGUAAAGCACUUUAUGUUGGGAGGAAGGGCUUUAGGUUAAUAUUCCGAAGUUUUGACGUUACCAACAGAAUAAGCACCGGCUCACUUUGUGCCAGCAGCCGCGGUAAUACAGAGGGUUCAAGCGUAAAUCGGAAUUACUGGGCUUAAAGCGCGCGUAGGUGGUGCAGUAAGAUGGGUGUGAAAUCCCCGGGCUUAACCUGGGAACUGCUUUCAUAACUGCUGAGCUAGAGUACGGUAGAGGGUAGUGGAAUUUCCUGUGUAGCGGUGAAAUGCGUAGAUAUAGGAAGGAACACCAGUGGCGAAGGCGACUACCUGGACUGAUACUGACACUGAGGUGCGAAAGCGUGGGGAGCAAAC